rnacentral:misc_RNA from 1 species
GCUAAAUCUGUUCCUUCACCUCACAAAGUUGAUCUUAGCAACCCUGAAAUAAACAUAGUGGUUCAAAUAGUCAAGACCGUGUGCUUGCUUGGAGUUGUUGAAAAGUACAAGGAGUUGUCCAAGUAUAACUUGAGGCAGCUUACCUCUAAAAACUAGUUCUACCGAGACAUCAUACAGAGUUCAUUCAGUUGAAGCAUCGGGAUCAAAGAGAACUCUGCUGGAUGCUUUAAUAUCUGCUAUGUCUGAUAUAGUUUUUGAACUCCUUAGAGAACCCUCUGAAGGAGGUUAUGCAUUCAAUGAUCAUGUUUUAGGUUAGGUUUAUAUCAAUGUUUUAGGUUAGUUUGAAAUUUUACUACAAACUUUAUGUUAAAGAUUUGAUUAUGUUUUCAGCUCACCUUCU